rnacentral:pre_miRNA from 1 species
AUUGUACUCCCUCCGUUCGAAAAUACUUGUCAUCAAAAUGAAUAAAAGGGGAUGUAUCUAGACGUAUUUUAAUUCUAGAUACAUCUUUUUUUAUCCAUUUUCAUGACAAGUAUUUUCGGACGGAGGGAGUACUUA